rnacentral:rRNA from 1 species
CAGUAGCCACGGUAAUACGAGGGGGGCAAGCGUUGUUCGGAUUUAUUGGGCGUAAAGGGUGCGUAGGCGGUUUGGCAAGUCAGAUGUGAAAGCCCUGGGCUCAACCUAGGAAUUGCAUUUGAUACUGUUUGGCUUGAGUUCGGGAGAGGUGAGUGGAAUUCCCAGUGUAGAGGUGAAAUUCGUAGAUAUUGGGAAGAACACCAGUGGCGAAGGCGGCUCACUGGACCGACACUGACGCUGAGGCGCGAAAGCGUGGGGAGCAAACAGGAUUAGAUACCCCCGUAGUCCCUGUCUCUUAUAC